UGAUCCGGCGACGGGAUGGAGGCUUCAUAAUGACUGAAUGAAGACACACAGCAUCGUUAUAGUCAUGGUGAUGAGUCUGUUGAAAAAAGAGAGAGGUUGCUAUCCGUGGCUUGAUGGUAUAUCUCAGAGAAAAGGAGGAGGAUCUCUUCAAAGAGCAUUCGGAUGGUGGGGAAAUUGCCAGUGAAGUGAUGAGGAUUGUUGUAUCCAGAGGUGCUACAAUGUCUGAUCCAGCCAGUGCAAAGAUCGUGAUAGAGGGAGAAAGUAGUCCUGGAAGACCUGAAUGUACCCAGAGCCUGUGCUUUGGUAAUGGGGCUGAUAUAUGCACUCAACCUCUGCUAUACAAAAAAACUGAAAAACACUUCUGAGGUGUUUCAGAAGGUAUUCCUUGAGCUGGAUGGUCUGAAAGAUAGUGUGAAGGUAAUAUCUCUAAAAAACAAAAUGCUGUACUAAUAAUGUGAAGAAUUUGGCUGUUCACAGGCCUUUCAAUUACAUGAAACCUGCGACAGAUAAUGUUGUAGGCGCCCAAAUUAAAAAGGCGACCAAAUUAAGG